rnacentral:rRNA from 1 species
AGCGAACGCUGGCGGCAGGCCUAACACAUGCAAGUCGAACGGCAGCACAGUAAGAGUUUGCUCUUAUGGGUGGCGAGUGGCGGACGGGUGAGGAAUAUAUCGGAAUCUACUUUUUCGUGGGGGAUAACGUAGGGAAACUUACGCUAAUACCGCAUACGAUCCACGGGUGAAAGCAGGGGAACUUCGCACCUUGCGCGAUUGAAUGAGCCGAUGUCGGACUAGCUAGUUGGCGGGGUAAUGACCCAGCAAGGCGACGAUCCGUAGCUGGUCUGAGAGGAUGGUCGGCCGCACGAGAGGUGGAACGCGGUCCAGGGUCCUGCGAGAGGCAGCAGUGGGGAAUAUUAGGCAGUAGGGGCGAACAUGGUCCAACGAGAGCACGUGGGUGGAGAAGACCUUCGGGUUGUGAAGCCCUUUUGUUGGGAAAGAAAAGCUGCAGGUUAAGACGCCGCUGUUCUGACGGUACCCGGAAAAUAAGCACCGGCUAACUACGUG